GACACGAUGGCCAAGUCUAAGGCGCUGGUUUUAGGCACCAGUCUUCAGGCGUGGGUUCAAAUCCCACUCGUGUUA
rnacentral:tRNA from 2 species